rnacentral:sRNA from 1 species
GAUACCAAAAGCUUUAUUAUAAUAUAACUCUACAAAGUUGAACAUAGGCUGAGUCUCUAUGCCUUGAAUGGAGCACUGGAUUGGAUACCCGGGAAACCGGCGCUUCCAUUUAUAAGAAGUUAAAUU